CCAGCAGCUGCGGUAAUUCCAGCUCUAAUAGCAUAUAUUAAAGUUGUUGCAGUUAAAAAGCUCGUAGUCGAAUUUCGGGCUCGUGUGGGCGGUCGGCUUAGGUCGAAUUGCCUGUGCGGGCCUUUCUGCUUGGGAGUCCUGGUAGGUUAACCCCUAUCUGUGAGUCACAGGCCGUUUACUUUGAAAAAAUUAGAGUGCUCAAAGCAGGCUAUUCCGCCUGAAUAUUCGUGCAUGGAAUAAUAGAAUAGGAUGUCGAUCCUAUUUUGUUGGUUUUCGGGACUCGACAUAAUGAUUAAUAGGGACAAUUGGGGGCAUUUGUAUUCAAACGACAGAGGUGAAAUUCUUGGACCGUUUGAAGACAAACUACUGCGAAAGCAUUUGCCAAGAAUGUUUUCAUUAAUCAAGAACGAAAGU
rnacentral:rRNA from 1 species